CAACCCUCAGGCCCACCCUUCCGGGGGAACGGGCCUGGUGUUGGGGCUCGGGGUCCUUCGGGCCCCCGUCCCCUAAAUUCAGUGGCGGUCGCGCCGCAGCCUCCCCUGCGUAGUAGCACACCUCGCACCGGAGAGCGGCACGGCCACGCCGGAAAACCCCCAAUUUUACCAA
rnacentral:misc_RNA from 1 species